GGAUUAGAUACCCUGGUAGUCCACGCCGUAAACGAUGAGCACUAGGUGUCGCGGUCAUUGACAACUGCGGUGCCGUAGCUAACGCGUUAAGUGCUCCGCCUGGGGAGUACGGCCGCAAGGCUAAAACUCAAAGGAAUUGACGGGGGCCCGCACAAGCGGUGGAGCAUGUGGUUUAAUUCGACGCAACGCGCAGAACCUUACCAGGGCUAGAAAAACUAGGAACCUGCCAGAGACGGCGGGGUGCCCGCAAGGGAACCUAGGUCCAGGUGCUGCAUGGCUGUCGUCAGCUCGUGCCG
rnacentral:rRNA from 1 species